rnacentral:lncRNA from 1 species
GUAGUUUAAAGUCUGAAACACGUCUGAUUCAUUUGCGUAGACGGGGCUGCACGGAUGAGCGAAGUUAAAGGUAUGUAUCCUGCUAAAUGUACGUUCCAACGGCGAACAUCCCAACUCUUUAAAUUCUUUCAACCUGUGACCAACGCGUCUUUUCAAAGCGUUUCAACUGUAAUCCUCCCGUGGUUUUUUGAAGUGUUUCGACCAUGACCAAUGCGUCUUUUAAAAGCGUUUCAACCGUGAUCGUCCCCUGUUCCAAAUGUGACCAUCUUGUCUUUUGUUUAUGUCCAAAUCUUUUUUAUGUCCCGCCCUACUCUCUGUGUGUCCUUCUCUCCUUUUAAGACACAUUGGAUAAGAUAGUCUGAAAUACCUGCCUGGAGAAUGAAAGGUCGUAUAAUCAUGGGAGGACAGCCUUUGAACAUAGGUCGGAGACCAUGGCGUUUAUGCCUACUUUCACUUUUCAGCCAGCAGCUACUUUCAUUAUGGAGAUACUGGAAGAAAAGAUUUAGAAAAAGGGAGAGAUGAUGAGAAAAAUGUUAUAAAUGUAGGCCCC